rnacentral:rRNA from 1 species
GACGAACGCUGGCGGCGUGCUUAACACAUGCAAGUCGAGCGGUAAGGCCCUUUCGGGGGUACACGAGCGGCGAACGGGUGAGUAACACGUGGGUGACCUGCCCUCAGCUCUGGGAUAAGCCUGGGAAACCGGGUCUAAUACUGGAUAUGACUCCAUGACGCAUGUUGUGGGGUGGAAAGCCUUGUGCGGCUGGAGGAUGGGCCCGCGGCCUAUCAGCUUGUUGGUGGGGUGANGGCCUACCAAGGCGACGACGGGUAGCCGGCCUGAGAGGGCGACCGGCCACACUGGGACUGAGACACGGCCCAGACUCCUACGGGAGGCAGCAGUGGGGAAUCUUGCGCAAUGGGCGAAAGCCUGACGCAGCGACGCCGCGUGAGGGAUGACGGCCUGGUGUAAC